UAGGGAAUCUUCGGCAAUGGGGGGAACCCUGACCGAGCAACGCCGCGUGAGUGAAGAAGGUUUUCGGAUCGUAAAGCUCUGUUGUUAAGGAAGAACGAGUGUGAGAAUGGAAAGUUCAUGCUGUGACGGUACUUAACCAGAAAGGGACGGCUAACUACGUGCCAGCAGCCGCGGUAAUACGUAGGUCCCGAGCGUCGUCCGGAUUUAUUGGGCGUAAAGCGAGCGCAGGCGGUUAGAAAAGUCUGAAGUGAAAGGCAGUGGCUCAACCAUUGUAGGCUUUGGAAACUGUUUAACUUGAGUGCAGAAGGGGAGAGUGGAAUUCCAUGUGUAGCGGUGAAAUGCGUAGAUAUAUGGAGGAACACCGGUGGCGAAAGCGGCUCUCUGGUCUGUAACUGACGCUGAGGCUCGAAAGCGUGGGGAGCGAACAGG
rnacentral:rRNA from 1 species